rnacentral:rRNA from 1 species
UACGGAGGGUGCGAGCGUUUGUCCGGAAUCACUGGGCGUAAAGGGCGCGUAGGCGGCGCGGAAAGUCGUCGGUGAAAGCUCGGGGCUCAACCCUGAGUCUGCCGGUGAUACUCCCGCGCUCGAGCUCACUAGAGGCAGAUGGAAUUCCGGGUGUAGCGGUGGAAUGCGUAGAGAUCCGGAGGAAGACCGGUGGCGAAGGCGGUCUGCUGGGCAGUUUCUGACACUGAGGCGCGACAGCGUGGGGAGCAAACAGG